CCCGAGUCGGGGCCGUUGGUUGGUGCGCGGCUGAGGGGUGUGGCGCGAGCAGCGUCGUUGGUUGGCCGGCAGCGGGCCGGGACGGGCAUGGCCCUGCUGCUGUGCCUGGUGUGCCUGACGGCGGCGCUGGCCCAAGGCUGUCUGCACUGCCACAGCAACUUCUCCAAGAAGUUCUCCUUCUACCGCCAGCAUGUGAACUUUAAGUCCUGGUGGGUGGGCGACAUCCCCGUGUCAGGGGCGCUGCUCACCGACUGGAGCGACGACACGAUGAAGGAGCUGCACCUGGCCAUCCCCGCCGAGAUCACCCGGGAGAAGCUGGACCAAGUGGCGACAGCAGUGUACCAGAUGAUGGAUCAGCUGUACCAGGGGAAAAUGUACUUCCCCGGGUAUUUCCCCAACGAGCUGCGAAACAUCUUCCGGGAGCAGGUGCACCUCAUCCAGAACGCCAUAAUCGAAAGCCGCAUCGACUGUCAGCACCACUGUGGCAUCUUCCAGUACGAGACCAUCUCCUGCAACAACUGCACAGACUCGCACGUCGCCUGCUUUGGCUAUAACUGCGAGUAGGGCUCAGGCAUCACACCCACCCGUGCCACGGCCCUGCUGUCCCUGGGGUCCCAGGCUCUCCUUGGAGGGGGCUCCCCGCCUUCUACCUGGCCCUCGUCAUCGGGAUAGGGCGGGGCCGGGGGUUCAGGCCACACCACUUCCAAGCCUGCGUCCCACAGGUCCUCGCAGCAGUGGGAGUCGGCUGUCCAGGGCCUCCUGAGCUACAUAAAUAACUGGCACAAGUAAGUCCCCUCCUCAAACCGACACAGGCAGUGUGCGUAUGUGAGCACCUCGUGGGUGAGUAUGUGUGGGGCACAGGCUGGCUCCCUCAGCUCCCACGUCCUAGAGUGGCUCCUGAGGAGGUGGAACCUCAACCCAGCUCUGCGCAGGAGGCGGCUGCAGUCCCUUUCUCCCUCAAAGGUCUCCGGCCCUCAGCUGGAGGCGGGGCAUCCUUCCUAAAGGGUCCCCAUAGGGUCUGGUUCCACCCUGUCCCAGGUCUGUGGUCAGAGCCUGGGAGGGUUCCCUACGAUGGUUAGGGGUGCCCCAUGGAGGGGCUGACUACCCCACAUUGCCUUUCAGACAGGAUACGAGCAUGAGGUAAGGCCGCCCUGACCUGGCCUUCAGGGGGAGGGGGUAAAGGAAGAGAGGAGGGGGGCUAGGGGGUCCUCUAGGUCAGUGGGGGCACCGCAGGUGGGGCUCUCCCUAUACCUGGGACACCUGCUGGAUGUCACCUCUGCAACCACACCCAUGUGGUGCUUUCAUGAACAAACCACGCUCCUCCUCCUUCUCCUGGCCUGGGACACACAGAGCCACCCCAGCCUUGUGAGUGACCCGGAGAAGGGAGGCCUCAGGAGAAGGGGUGCUCCUAAGCCAACACCAGCGUGCCGCGGCCCCCACACCCUUCUGAAAUCCCAGGCACACGGGUGUCGUGGAUGUGGCCACACAUAGGACCACACGUCCCAGCUGGGAGGAGAGGGCUGGGGCCUCCAGGGAGGGAGGCAGGGGGUGGGGGACAUGGAGAGCUGAGGCAGCCUCGUCUCCCCGCAGCCUGGUAUCGCCGGCCUUAAGGUGUCUGGAGCCCCCACACCUGGCCAACCUGACCUUGGAAGAUGCUGCCGAGUGUCUCAAGCAGCACUGACAGCAGCUGGGCCUGCCCCAGGGCAACGUGGGGGCGGGGACUCAGCUGGACAGCCCCCACCUGUCCCUCUGGAGCUGGGCUGCUGCUGCCUCAGGACCCCCCCUUCAACCCUGGACAGAGCUGAGCUGGCCAGGGCCGGGAGGGCGGGAGGGCGGGAAUGGGGGUGGGUUGUGCGCAGCGUCAGCGCCUGGGCAGGUCCUCGGAGCUGCAGUAUGUGAUGAUUAAAGUCUCUGAUGUUUCUCUUUGCAGAA
rnacentral:sRNA from 1 species